rnacentral:rRNA from 1 species
UACACUCCUACGGGAGGCAGCAGUGGGGAAUUUUGGACAAUGGGCGAAAGCCUGAUCCAGCCAUGCCGCGUGCAGGAUGAAGGCCUUCGGGUUGUAAACUGCUUUUGUACGGAACGAAACGGCCUUUUCUAAUAAAGAGGGCUAAUGACGGUACCGUAAGAAUAAGCACCGGCUAACUACGUGCCAGCAGCCGCGGUAAUACGUAGGGUGCAAGCGUUAAUCGGAAUUACUGGGCGUAAAGCGUGCGCAGGCGGUUAUGUAAGACAGUUGUGAAAUCCCCGGGCUCAACCUGGGAACUGCAUCUGUGACUGCAUAGCUAGAGUACGGUAGAGGGGGAUGGAAUUCCGCGUGUAGCAGUGAAAUGCGUAGAUAUGCGGAGGAACACCGAUGGCGAAGGCAAUCCCCUGGACCUGUACUGACGCUCAUGCACGAAAGCGUGGGGAGCAAACAGGAUUAGAAACCCCAGUAGUCCCAUG